GCGGGGUAGAGUAAUUGAUCAACUCAUUAGGUUCAUGAUCUGAGAAUUACAGGUUCGAAUCCUAUCCCUGGCU
rnacentral:tRNA from 1 species